GCCUUUGUGGUAUAAUUGAAAAGCGCGUCCGAUUGGCAAUCGGAAGAUCCGGGGUUCGAGUCCCUACAGUGCA
rnacentral:tRNA from 1 species